AAGGUUUUAAGUUAAAUAAACUAAUAGCCUUCAAAGCUAUCAAUAUAAGAUACUCUUUUAAGCCUUA
rnacentral:tRNA from 1 species